rnacentral:rRNA from 1 species
UGGGGAAUAUUGGGCAAUGGGCGCAAGCCUGAUCCAGCCAUGCCGCGUGAGUGACGAAGGCCUUAGGGUUGUAAAGCUCUUUUGGCGGGGAAGAUAAUGACGGUACCCGCAGAAUAAGCUCCGGCUAACUUCGUGCCAGCAGCCGCGGUAAUACGAAGGGAGCUAGCGUUGUUCGGAAUCACUGGGCGUAAAGCGCACGUAGGCGGAUGUGUCAGUCAGGGGUGAAAUCCCGGAGCUCAACUUCGGAACUGCCCUUGAUACAGCACGUCUUGAGUCCGAUAGAGGUGGGUGGAAUUCCUAGUGUAGAGGUGAAAUUCGUAGAUAUUGGGAAGAACACCAGUGGCGAAGGCGGCUAACUGGUCCGGUACUGACGCUGAGGUGCGAAAGCGUGGGGAGCAAACAGGAUUAGAUACCCGCGUAGUCCCUGAGCGGGCUGGCAAGGCGCAU